UUCAACCGUCUCCGUCUGGGUGACUCUGAUGUGCCCGGAACUUUGUCUCAGCCUGGACUGUUAGCGCAGGUGAGCAAAGUUUCAGGUGUGUUGCAGUCACUCCAACUCACCAGUGGAUCGU
rnacentral:precursor_RNA from 14 species